GAUGAACGCUGGCGGCGUGCCUAAUACAUGCAAGUCGAGCGAACAGGCGAGGAGCUUGCUCCUUCGACGUUAGCGGCGGACGGGUGAGUAACACGUGGAUAACCUACCUAUAAGAGUGGGAUAACUUCGGGAAACCGGAGCUAAUACCGGAUAACAUGUUGAAACACAUGGUUCAAGAGUGAAAGACGGUAUUGCUUUAACUUAUAGAUAGACCCGCGCCGCAUUGGCUAGUGGGGAAGGUAACGGCUUACCAAGGCAAGGAUGCGUAGCCGACCGGGGAGGGGGGUCGGCCCCAUGGGACGGGGGACAGGCACCAGCCGCCUCAGGGAGGCACCAGAAGGGAACCGUCGGCAAGGGGCGAAAUCAUGACGGAGCAAGCCGGCGUGAGGGAAAAAGGUCUCCGGUUCGUAAAACCCGGUGAUGGGGGAAGAACUAAUUUGUAAGGAACUGUGCACGACUUGACGGUACCUAAUCAGAAAGCCACGGCUAACUACGUG
rnacentral:rRNA from 1 species